UACGGAGGGUGCGAGCGUUGUCCGGAAUCAUUGGGCGUAAAGGGCGCGUAGGUGGCGCGGUAAGCGUGCGGUGAAAGCUCGGGGCUCAACCCCGAGUCGGCCGUGCGAACUGCCGCGCUUGAGCACUGUAGAGGCAGGCGGAAUUCCGGGUGUAGCGGUGGAAUGCGUAGAGAUCCGGAAGAACACCGGUGGCGAAGGCGGCCUGCUGGGCAGUGGCUGACACUGAGGCGCGACAGCGUGGGGAGCAAACAGG
rnacentral:rRNA from 1 species